CUGGCUCAGAGCGAACGCUGGCGGCAGGCUUAACACAUGCAAGUCGAGCGGGCACUU
rnacentral:rRNA from 1 species